rnacentral:rRNA from 1 species
GACGAACGCUGGCGGCGUGCCUAAUACAUGCAAGUCGAACGCAGUGGGGACGGGUGAGUAACACGUGGGUAACCUACCAUCAGAGGGGAUAACACGUGGAAACAGGUGCUAAACCGAUACUGAUGGAUGGCCCCGCGGUGCAUUAGCUAGUUGGUGAGGUAACGGCUCACCAAGGCACCGAGGCAAAGCCGCACUUAGAGUGUGAUCGGCCAUACGGGGAGUGCGACACGGCCCAUACUCCUACGUGAGGCAGCAGUGGGGAAUAUUGCACAAUGGGCGCAAGCCUGAUGCAGCCAUGCCGCGUGUGUGAAGAAGGCCUUCGGGUUGGAAAGCACUUUCAGCGGGGAGGCGUUACCCGCAGAAGAAGCACCGGCUAACUCCGUGCCAGCAGCCGCGGUAAUUC